UGGCCGGAAUAAUGUCAGCACAAUCAGCAAGAGCUCCGUUAUUUUUCAAAACUUUUGUAAAAAAAAUCUUGAAAUAUAUAUAAAAUCGCCAAAUUUUUCUUGGGUUAUACUGGUAUAGCCCCUUAAAGCUGCAAAUAUGUGAAAUUAAUCUACGAAGCUGACCGGUUACGUUUUCAGAUACUGCAGACGUUUUUUUUACAGUGAUUCGUGAUUGCAAGAAGGCAACGCAACAUACUGAAUUUUCACCGAAGGCUUACCGUAUUGCCACACUUUGAACUAAUGACUACUAAAUACUUUGAUAUUGUUAUCAAUUCCUAAAAAUUUAAAAGAAACUUUAUGUAUAGAGCGGUUAGGUUGGUU